GCGUUAGUCCCAGAUCCAAUGUGAAUGAGCUGCGUGACUUGGAGAAGGCAUUUCCUUGUCUGGGCCUCGGUUCUCCCACGAAUCUAAGGUCCUCAAAGGCAGGGCAUCUCUGUCUAUAUUCCUGCACUUGAUAAAAAAUUACCAAUCCGUCAGACGCUCAGAAGUCGCUGUGCUGGAAAAAGCAACUGGAGGGAGGCAGCUACCCAGGCCAGGAGGUGGCCACACCAGCUCCGCCUGAGGGACGGAGACAUGCCCAGGAGCCUCCCCCAUCACUGUUCAUCUGUGUGGCCUAAAAUAAA